UGAAGGGAAAACUCAGCGCAGGAGGGAUAUUGUCCAUUUCCCUUAGGAAAAUAAACGGACCCGUAAAUGGACAAACACCUGAGGGAGGGAGAGAGGGAGAUGCUCUCCCAUUACCCUUUGGGGUAAUAAAGGUGCCCAUGAGGGGAGGAAAAAGCUCGGGAGGAGAGGCUCUCCCAAUCACCUCUUGUGGAAUGAAGGUGCCCAUGAAGGGAGAAGGGUGGGAAGGAGAUGCUUUUCCUUUCCCCUUUGCAGAAUAAAGGGGGCAAAGCGUGUGAGGGAGGGAAAUGCUCUUCCAUUUCCCCCUUAGGGAAUAGAGGUGCCGGUGGGGGAAAAAACUUGACACGGGAGGGAUAUUCCCCAUCUCCUUUAGGAAAAGAAAGGUGCCCGUAAGGAAAAAAAAGCACGGGAGGGAGAGAGGGAGGAAGGGAGAGGCUCUUCGAUUCCUCCUGGGGGAAUAAAGGUGUUCAUAAGGGGAAAACUCAGCUCGGGAGGGAGGAAGAUCCUCUUCCAAUCCCCUUAUGUGGAAUGAAGAUGCCCGUGAGGGAAGAAGGGUGGGAAGGAGAUGCGCUUCCAUUCCCCUCUCGGGGAAUAAAAGUAGCCGUGAGGGAAAAGCUCGGUGUGGGAGACAGGUGACUUUCCUUUGCUCGUUUAGGGAGCAAAGGUAUCCAUGAGGGGAAAAGUGUGGGAGGAAAAGAUGCUCUUUCAUUCUCCUUUGGGGGAAAAACUCAGUGCAGGACUGAGAUGUUCUUCCAUUUUCCUUUUUGAGAAUAAAGGUGCCUGUGAGGAGAAAAACUCAUACCCUGAGGAAGUGGAAUCCAGAAGCAGGGCAGGUUUUCUCCUCAGAAGGUGAAAUCCAGAAGCAGGGCAGGUUUCCCCUCAGGAAGUGGAAUCCAGAAGCAGGGCAGGUUUUCUCCUCAGAAGGUGGAAUCAUUACACACCCAUAUUAAGGUACACACAGACACCGACCAGGAUGAAGCGCUGCCAGGGCAGAUGUUUGCAGUGGAGUCAGAGCCAGAAGAACCUGGACUGCAGCCACCUCAGCGAGGAGUGGAAAGAAGGGGAAAUCCCUCUCUAACAUUAAUAAAGAACUGAAAAUUCCACAACAAUUCUUGAAGAUUUCUUCCCUGUUACACUGUCUGUUCUGACGUGAUCAAAAUUCCCCAUCAACUUUAAGGGAACUUCCUGAGAAAAUUGUGACACCUACUGGUGUGGCAGCUGUAUCCAGAUGUACAGAGAGACACAGCACAGCAGCUCCUGGCCACGUCCAACACACCCCAGCUCUUCCUCUGUUCCAGACAGAGCCUCUGCUAGGAGCCCGAGUAGAUGGCACCCUAGGAAAUGAAAAUGGCACAGCAAGAGGGAAGCAGCAGCACCGCAGCAGCACCUCUACCCUCCCCACUGCUGGCUGUGGCAGCAAAACCCCUGAUGGAUCAGUGCCCCUCAAACCUGCAGGUUGCUGGAAGGCCAAUUGCAGCAGUGAGGAGAGUUAAUGGGGUGGAGUGAGGGGCCUGGAGUUCCUGGGCUCUGCUCAGGUCUCAGAACAAGUCACCCUGACACUCCUGUGUCACCCUGGACACGGGGCUCCAUCCCAUCAGUGAGCUGAGAGUGUGGAGCCCCUUCUGCAGCUGGGAGCCAGAGAACACACCCUGGAACGUGGGACAGAGUGCUGCUCCCCAGCAGAUGUACUCUGCUAACCUAAUUUGUGUGAUUCUUCCAAUAUCCCACUUGCUAAAGUCAUGUACAUCUGAAAUCCAUGAAACAGGACUGAUGAGGUUCUGCACAAAGCACUUCCAUCUGUAUCUCUGUAGAAGUAUUUUUUUCUUGUUCAUCCAACUGAUUUUUCUGCUUCAGCAGUAGAAGGCACAGUUUCUGUGAGGCACUCCAGUGCAUUGUUUUCCUUGGGGUUUUUCUUUGGCUUUUAUAAUCAACAAUACAAUGCAAUUAGCCAAAGUUCUUGGGGGCAACUGAAUCAUGUGGGUAAUAAAACCCAGAAAUGCAAACUCCAGUUCUUCCCCAGAGCCCCCAGAACCAGCACUUUGUCUGUAAAUGCCUUCUUGAAAGCCAGGCCCUGAGGUAACACUAAAUGACUCAAACCAAACUCAAAUAAAUCCUCUCUGUGCAGUCAAGGAAACUCUGAGGCUGGGCAGCCUUCAGACCUCUUCUAGUCCCACUCCCCACACAGCCCCGGGUAACACUUCAGUAAUCCUAAUAUUGAGGAGUCCUUUUUAAGGGAAGUUCUACAAAGAAAUUAAAAAUGCAUAAUUCUCACAGUGCUAAAGACUGAAGAGCAAGUGAAACGAGUUUGUGUGUAGAAGUCUUUCUGCAGAGCUUUCAUGACUCUUGGCUGAAGGUGUUAGAAGCUGGACUUGUGUAGAAAGUCUCCUAAGCUCAGAAAUAAAGAUCUUUCCCCAAAAUCAAUAUACAACUGAUUUGUUGUGUAUUGAAACACAAUAGUUUUUUUAACUAUUAUUGUCAUGGACCUGUGGCAACCACCUUUCUCCCACUCUUAUUCAGCAAUUUAUAAAAUGCCCAUGCAUCUGGCAAUUUCUUAUUUUACUAUUUCUAACCAUCUCAUAUCCUUAUUGAUACCAUUUCAUCCUCCACAGAUGCCACCUUUCCUGGUUCAGUGAAACUCUCCAUUCCAAAGAAAGGUCACAGGGCUUUUUCUUUUUCCUUUUUUUAACCUGCUCAUGGCUGCAGAACUCCAUGCCAGAAGAGAUUAGAAUAAUAAAGCUCACAGGCUUCAGAUCAAACCACAGCCUUCACCUUGCUGUAGUUCAUCUUCCAUCAAUAACACCCAGCUGAAAUUGGACAGAAAAAUCUAAACUGUUACAAGGCUUUUUGGAAUUCAAGAGGUGCAGACACCACAGCAAAAAAAAACAAAACAAUGGUAAAAGCACUGCAGCACUGUCCACCUUCCAUUGUCAAACUAAUUUGAAAUCACAAUUUUUUUGUUACUAAAACACCGGCUCAAUGUGUAUGAGAAAAUCCCUAUGAAAAGUGUAUAUGGGAAUGAAUCCUACUGUUGCUAAAUAAAGAACAAAAUUUGCUGCAGGAAAAUCUAUGAAAUCAGGUGUAUGGAUAGACUUUCAGAUAAGUGUGUGGGCAAAAUGUGCAUGGUUUGUGGCAAGCACAUAAAUGAAAAAAAAUCUAAAAAAGAGAAGAAAUAAUCUUGUAGUUCUAGUAUCUCUUUUUUCACAAGCUAUAAAGAGAAAGCAUUAGCUGUUGGACACUUGAGAUGCUUUUAAGAUUAGAUAAUUUAGCUAAGAAGCAUUAUUAUAGGAAAAGCAAUGGCAUAUGCUUAUUACGAGAUAAUUAUAUUAGGAGUGGCCUCUCAGGCAGAGAGGAUUCUGUGAAACAGCCUUACAUUUGUAUAAAACCUUCAAGUCACAAUAGAAAAGAACAGCUUUAUAAAAUGAAAGAAAAUUAUCUGAAUAGGAAGAUCUUUACAAGUUCCUGCAGGAGCUCAAUAUCCCAGGGGGAGGAAAAUGAAGAUAACUCACAAUUCCUUACUUGACUUUAGGCACUUCUUCAAUGUGUCUGCAUUGCUCAGAACCAAUUUCUCUCCUAGAUUAGCUUUUGACUAAAGUACAGUGAAGUCCCUGAAAUAUAACACAUUUAACCAAAAAUCUCCACAAUAAAUUGUUGCAAAUAAGCCCAAAGUGAUUUUUGUUUUAAUUUUCCACCUUUUAUAUGGAAGUCACAUUUAUUUCUGUCUGCUGGACUGAAAGAAAAGGCCUUUGCACCACAGGUUUUCAGAAGCUUGAGCUCAGUGUUCUCUUUGAGGUCAGAUUUAUUUUAAAAAAAUCCCUGACAAACUAAAAUUUAUAAAAACAAACUGGAAAAGUUGCAUUAAGUUUACUAAGGUAAAAAUAUUUAUAGCUGUUGCAGUAGUAAGACUAUUACAAACUAGGUGGAUGGGAGAAUUAAAGCCUAAACAAAAGAGUAAUUAAAAAUAUUACUGUUUAACUGUUAAUGUGAUAAUUGCACUUUUGCCAAUAUCCUUUAAAUUGUUCAAAAGCUACAAAGUUAUCCACGUUAAAGAAAUUAGAAGUGAUGUAAAAACCACCUCUGCCAAUAGCUAAGGAGCUCAUUUGCCUCACUUCUUGCCUCUUUAUUUAUAAAUAGAUAAAGAAAUUUGUAAAUUCAGCAACAGAUCAAAACCGGCAUUCAGCAAAAAGAAGUCAGAUAUUCUCAAGAUUCUGGAAUUUCAAACUUUAUUAUUGUGCUUGUGAAUGGAACCUGCUGGAUGUGAAGAGAGUUGGGUGAAUUCUUGACAUCAAGAAUUCAGUGGAACACAGGGACUGGAAAGGCUUGACAAAAUUUGCCUGUCAGCGUGUGAGUAUUAAAAAAAAAAAAUAUAUAUAUAUAUAUGUCAAAAUGUCUGAAGUAACAGAUUGCUCAGAGAAGACAGAAAACCAAGCAAUAAAUGCUUUUUGUGACUCACACAAGGGAGCAUUUCCUGCUCCAUCUUUUGUAUUACUAACAAGUAAACCAGCAGCUCCAGUGUUUCCCCUGACAUCUAUGGCCAGAACAUGAUCACAUCGGGCAGCUUCCUGUGAGGUGACAAAAUGGAUUUGAUUUCAGAGGACAGAAUUUCCUCACACUCAUUACUGCAGCAAUUUUUCUUGUAACCUUGAUGAAAUACUUUAAAUUUUUAGGCAACAAAUAGGAAGUGAAUAUCCUGUCAUCCUGCUGAUGCUCUCAGGCCACAAAACUGGCUGUAGAAAUGGAAAUGCUGAUCGUGAAAAAAAGUGGCCUGCAAAAGAAAAAUUUGAAGUUUUUCUAGUGCAGAUUCUUAUUUAAAUGAUGACAAGGUACUUAUCUGCAGUUCUGAAAGCAUAGAAUUGUUACCUUUGAGAAAAAAUAGUGAGAAAAUUAAUUAGCCUUCACCCAGCACUGAAACUUUGUGCAGGUAAAAUCUCAUUAAUGGCUACAAGAGUUCUUGAGCAAGACCAAGCCAGAGCCUGAUGUAACAAAGUGGAACGGCCACUGUUUGUGGUCAUUAAAAUCUUUCAAAAAAAGAGCAAGAGGUUCUUUUUUUUUUUUU